GGCGUUGUCGGCGAGUCGGGUUGUUUGGGAAUGCAGCCCUAAUUGGGUGGUAAAUUCCGUCCAAGGCUAAAUACGGGCGAGAGACCGAUAGCGAACAAGUACCGCGAGUGAAAGAUUAAAAGGACUUUGAAAAGAGAGUUAAAGAUUGCUUGAAAUUGCCGGGAGGGAAGCGGAUGGAGGCCGAUGAUGCGUCUCGGUCGGAUGCGGAACAGCUGAAGCUGGUCCACCGCUCAACUCGAGGUGCGAACCAGCACAGGUCGUUGCAUCGGCACAAGCGCGGGUGGAGUACUGCCUAUUGGUUUUCCGUUGUGGUGGUCGAGGAACGAAGCGUGCACCCUUGGGGCGGGCCACUGUGCACCUGCACGCUCGUGGUGUUGGUUGGCGGGCUUUCCAUUCAACCCGUCUUGAAACAUGGACCAAGGAGUCUAACAUGUGUGCGAGUCGGUGGGUUUGUAAACCUGCGAGGCGUAAGGAAGCUGACGGGCGAGAACCCCUCUCCAUGGGG
rnacentral:ncRNA from 1 species